AAAAAGGGCCUCUGCCGUGAGCGGCACAGGUAGGGCAGCUUGACUGCUGUACAUGCAAAAUCAACAUCAAGAGAUUUCGAAAGCAUAAUUUUUUGGUAUUUGGGCAGCUGGUGAUUGCUGGUCCUGGUACCACC